rnacentral:rRNA from 1 species
CAGUAGCCGCGGGAAUACGUAGGUGGCAAGCGUUGUCCGGAAUUAUUGGGCGUAAAGGGCUCACAGGCGGUUUCUUAAGUCUGAUGUGAAAGCCCCCGGCUCAACCGGGGAGGGUCAUUGGAAACUGGGAAACUUGAGUGCAGAAGAGGAGAGUGGAAUUCCACGUGUAGCGGUGAAAUGCGUAGAGAUGUGGAGGAACACCAGUGGCGAAGGCGACUCUCUGGUCUGUAACUGACGCUGAGGAGCGAAAGCGUGGGGAGCGAACAGGAUUAGAUACCCCCGUAGUCCCUGUCUCUUAUAC